CACAUAUGAGUGAAAUUAUAUGGUAUUUGUCUCUCUCUGUCUGACUUAUUUCGCUUAGCAUAAUACCCGCAAAGUCCCUCCAUGUUGUCGCAAAAGGCGCGAUUUUUUUCUUUUUUUAAAAG